GCAGCUUCCUUACCCACAGUGAGGCAGAACUGCAGCACGUGAACGGCUCCCUCCUGCUUCAGGAAGUUCAUGAAGCGAAAGAGGAGAUCCUGCUGCUCCCGGAUAUCCUUCAGCUCCAACUUCAGCACCUGAAGACAAUUGUCCUUGGCCCGGCAGCCGUUCCUCGUUACCCACCGACGGCUUCUUGCUGCUGACGUCGGCGUAUUUCUGUAAAAACGGCACCGAGGGGGACGGAGGAUCGCUGGGCGACUCGGGCUGGAGACACAGAGGAGCGUUAGGACGUCUGGACGGAGAGGAAGCACCUCGGUUUGGCCCGUUUACUUACUGGAGUGUUGUCCACAAACAGCAGCACCAUGAGGUUCACAGUGUCCUGAAAGACGGAGAGAAGCGACACCAGCUCCCAUUUAACUCGUUACAUCACGCGCAGCAGAGAAGAACAUCAAGCCUCUUGUGUGAUAUGAGCUCCAUUGGACAAAAGUAUCUUUUAAAUGACCCCGUUUCUACAGUCCUUCCGUUCUCGUUUGAAUGUGUUCUUCUGUCUCUCAAGGUGCAGUACGAGUUGCUCUACUUACGGGGUCGGCCAUGAAGUCCAUGGUGGGCAGCAUGACCGAUCCGGCCAUCACCUCCCGCAGCAGCAGGGCCAGAGACCUGAGCAGAGGGACCACAAGCGUUUGUCUCAUUACCACCCAAUAGUAUGGAUUAUAAUAAACAAAAAACAACAGUUAUCCCAGACGUUUGUGGGACUUUCCUUCUGUUUUGUGCAGGAACGUUGGAGAAUAGAAUUGUAUCUUACAUUAGUAAACAAAAGCCACGAUUUCUGCAACAAAAUGGACCUUUAUGUUGUUUUUGCUCUGGGUUGCUGCUAAAAUGCAUUGCGUUUGUGCUGAUGUGAACCAGACUACAUCCUGGACGGCUCCUCGGGUUCUCGCCGCCCACCUGCAGUCCGUCGCUUUGGGCGGCAUGACAAAGGGAAACAGCAUCUCCGUCAGCUUCCUCAGGUACAGCAGCUCGUCCCUGCGGCUGCGCAGCGCCAUGUGGAGGUCGGCGCCGUAUUCGUCCAGAGCCGCCUGCUGAAGGCCCCCCGAGUCCUUCACUGCCGACACACACAGGUCCACCGACCGGAGAAGAUAUCUACUAUGUGUCUUCAUCUACCCGAGUGUGAAUAAAGCCACACAGCGACGGCUCAGACACAAGAAGGCCCUCGGAUGUUAAUGCUGAACAAGGAACUGAUGACAUCACCAGUUUAAAGCCUAUCGACUGCUUUGAUGAGCUACUUCUCCUUAAAUGAGCAUCAAUGAAUGAAAGAAUAUUUAACAUCUAAAGUCAACGACUGCAGACGGUAACAAUGUUCGCACCUUUUCCUCGAGCUUUUGCAAUAAUUUCAAUGUGCUUCAUGGCGGCUUUCAUCACUUUGUCUGCAAACACGACGGGAACGUCGACCUGCAGAAAUACGCGCAGCAGCAUUAAUGGAAGACGGAUCGCAGGACGCAGAGCACUCGCUCUCAUGUCGGUCUGAUGAAUGAAAGAAAGCAAGCAGCUUAGUAGUGGACGAACCUUCUGAGCCCGGCGGACGAGCACCGAGGCGAAGAAGCGAAAGGUCAUCCUGAGUUCAUCCACGCACGCCUCGUCGUCCGUGAUGUCCCUGAGGACCAGAGGAGGAAGUUCAGAGCAACGUCUGCGUGGUGCAGCUGCAGAAUUAAAACAUUCUCUCACCUGUACCACGGGUACACAAAGUUCUCCAGGACCAACUCAAACACCUGCAGGUCGGGUUCACACACGCACGGAAGUAACGGUCAGAAAAUGGGCCGUAGAAUGUCUGAUAGGGAAGAUGUGAUUUAGGGAUAGAGGUACCUCUGCUACAGACGCGUCCACCUUUGAAGGAACCUUCAGGUCGAGCCACGGCUGAUAGUUUUCAAGGAGCAGCGUCGGCCUGAAAAAAAGAAAGCAGCGCGUUCAGCACUUCGAAGACGGGUGACGUACCGGUGGCGGCUGCACUUCACCUUCCCGCAGACGGCACAGCUGCGGCCCAGAGGAAACAGCGCCUGCUCCCGUCGCGUCUGCCGGAGGGAAAACAACGAGCUGCACUUAAGUCCCGAAGCGGAGUUCAUCAGCUCAACGAGUCCCAGGCGGUCACAUCACAUUAGUGGUGUCAUUAUUGAUCCCUUCUGCUAAUGAUCUGGUUACCUUCCGAACACUAAACUCUGAGCACAUUAUUAGACCGCAUUAAAACUAUAAUGAUGACGUUUGUUUGAAUUAAUAUAAUCUUUUAUUUACCUGGAAGUAUACAAUGGAAGACAUUUAAUAUUCUUAAUGUUUUACUGUCUUCAGGGAGGUUACAGAUGUAGUUCUGUAGACCAGCUGUUAUCUAACAACAAAGAGAUCUGGAUCUGCUAACAAGGAUUAUCAAUGAUCAAUAAUUCCGAUCAGAUGCAGAAAGAAUAUUUUCUUGUGAUCGUUUCCGCAGCAACCCACACUUACUUUGCUGCGGGGCUUGACGGAGAAGAGGACGUUGGGGAGGAGGGACUCGGGGCCGAAGGAGCAGUAGAAGGUUGUGACUCCGGCCAGGAAGGACCAGAACACCAUCAGGAUGUGGAUGUACCUGAGGCAUCACAAACUGCCGUUUUACUCAUCAAGAAGAGGAAGAAACGGCAAAAUGGAGAAAGACCGCCGACUUGGAGACGUCUUCAAAUGUUUUAAAUGUGUCUGAAAAGUACUCCGAUUUUUACUUUGCAAAUUUUGGCUUGAAAUGCAACAGGAUUAUAUUUCUACUUUAACUUUCAUCUGUAAUUUACAGAUUAUUUAAAUUAUGAAGUGAUCAGAUUAAGAUUUAACAUAUUUGGCCUACUUCUUAUAUUAUUGGUCUAAUUAAUUUAACAGUAGUCAAUAUAUCCACUCAUCGUGCGAUUGUUUCUGUAAAGUUGUAAAGCUCUUUGAGGAACUUCACUCAAUGGUUUAUACAGGAGAGCUCUGACUGAACACUACCUCUCCCAGUAUGACUCUCCCAGUACGGCUGGUUCCACUACCUGUUGAGCAGCACAGUCAUCGACACCAUGGUGAGCAGCACAAAGCAGAAGACUGGAUACUGACGUCCGGCUUCCCUCAUGACGUCAAUCUUCAGUCCUCGCGUCACGUGACCCACACACGCUAAAAGCCCCGCCAUCCUCUCCAGAGGACCUGUUGACAGCUAAUGCAGUACAUUAAAACCUCGAAACUUUUAACGUAGUUUAAUAACGACCAACAGUCGUCGGUUUCAACCAGCAGCACCGUAAUAAAGUGAGGUUAAACGGUAAAAACGUGAUUUUAAAUGUUCUCGGACAUAACUUGCUAGCUUAGCUAUCUUAGCUAACAGCUAAAUUGGUUAGCUGAACUGACACCAGCGUCCACGGUUCGUUUUCUAAAAUACUUACAGCGACACUAUCGCAGCCGCUCUUCAUGUAAAACACCUUCUAUCCAUCGGCAUAGGCUUCGGCUGAUAGCCAGUGACAUGUCAAAAAGUUCCUAAAGUUAUUAAUUGAGGUUUUCCCAUUUUAUUUGAAAGUCCCGACCUACUUCCCUGAGGUGGAAUGUUUUCUAAUCGGCCGGAAGGUUGCCAGAUGUCAUUAAACCGCAAUUUAUUUUUUAA